rnacentral:rRNA from 1 species
AUGUCAAAGAGAGUUAACUGUAAGGCAGCGGUUAAGAUGAAGAAAAAAGGGAAAGAAUGGAUAUAUGAGAAAGUACUAUUGGAGCACAAUCAUACCCUAAAUCCUGAGCCAUGGGAGUUGAAGCACAUGCAUUCACACAAGAACAAAGACCCUGCUAUCAUGGAAUUCCUUGAUGAUCUGCAGAUGUGCGACGUCUCUCCUAAUGCCACCAUGAAUGUGUUGACCAAGAUGCAUGGCAACCGUGAGAACAUGCCAUGGAGUGAACGUGACUUGCAAAAUAGGUAA